rnacentral:lncRNA from 1 species
ACUAAAUAUAGCUCCUGCCUUUCAGACUGACAGGAGAGCUCCCGCUGUGUACACCCGGAGCUGAAUCUUCACACACUCCUAAUAUGGUUAGCCCUGCAGCCUAUCAGCCCUUGAGCACAGAAGGGAAGCAGUGCUGCCUUUACAGGCUUCCUAAGGUUAACCCUUUCGUGGAAGACAGGAUGGAAGACUGACCACUGGGAGCUGCAGAUUCUCUGGUUACAAAUAAUAAUGCAAAAAAUCGACAUGAUCUGGAAACCAGGAUCCAGUCUGCUUUCCAAAUACAAAUACUUAUGGAUGUGCUGUGUUUUCUUCCUAUGAGAAGAAAAAAGAAAAGACUCCAGAUGCAGAGCCUCAAAUUGUCAGCAGAUUUUUUGAAACUCCCCUGGAAUUUGUAUUGGUGAUACCGAGUUUGGUGCAGACUGACAACUUUAUUUCUUUCUUCCAAGUGUAAAAUGUGAUAUAUGCUUCAUAUAAAAAUUCAAAUCGUGCAGAAAAGCACAAAGAAGACAGUAGAAAUCACUUGAAUUCCCCUUCUCUGAAGAUAGCCACCAUUUAUUUAUGUUUUGCUGAAGACAAAGUCUUGUCUUGAAGGUAAGAUUUACAUUUUGCCUUGGAGACUUCUUUCUAUGAACAUGUACAUGUAAAUGUGAUUGUACAUAAUGUUCUAGAACUUGGCUUUUCUAGUCAACAAUACUUUUGGACAUUUUUCUAUGCAAGUACAUGUAGCUCUGCAUCUGUGAUUCUCAUUAUGUCCUUCUUCCUCUUCUAGAUAAGAGUAUGAUGCAUAAGUGGAAUGACAUGGAAACGUAUAAAAAUGGAGAGACACCAGCAUCAUAAUUCAUAAUAUCAUAUAUCCACUGUACUGAGAUGCUACAUUUUUUUUUACCUUAUUCCUUCAUGGUUGGUGUUUGUUUUCAAUAAUUUAUAAUUAAAAGUUUGUUGGGUCUUUGUUUCCUACAAGUUUUUAAUUUUUUAACCUAUUUAUAGAUACUACUUUUAUCUUUACCCUAACUCUUAUCUAUGGUCUG